GCUAGCAAAGAAAAAUCGAACGGCCAAGCAGUUCUGCUGUGUUCCUCGGUGCGUGCCAACGAGAUGGAAGGACAGCGAUAUUUCCGUUCACGCACUUCCCUCCGAGUGGAAAGGCUGAAGCCGCAGAACCAGGUGGAUCGCUACCCUCCGCAUCGGCAAGGCUGUGACGCUUACAGUGACUGUUUGCUCACGGCAUUUUGCACGGGAUAAUUUCUCCUUACCAGAUGUAGCAUGUCAAAGACAGUGGCUGAAAAAAAUGCAGUACCAACUGAAAACCUGCCAAGGACGUCAUGUUAUGAUGAGAACAAGGAUGCUCAUAUGAAAGAGCUUUCACUGGCAAGACUUCGCCGACGUGUGUAUCGGUCAGCCAGAAAUGAAUCAAGCAAAGAAACUGUUGCCUCCCCAUUAGAAGCAAAGGUGUUGCCCCAUGCACCUGUCAGCACGACCACCAUGGUAAAUUGGCUGCCUGCAACUUGUGCACACAUUGCUUCACCACUAAUUCCUUGGGAUUAA